rnacentral:lncRNA from 1 species
UCCUGUGCAGGACAGCUUCUAUCCCUGUCACUUAACAAUGGAGAGGAUUCUUCCCCAGCUUCCUUCCAGAGGACACAAAAGCUCAGAGCUCCACAGUCUAGAGUCUAGACCAACAGGCCUCCACACUCACGUCCCAGAGAUUUCCCUGGUCCCACCUACUCCCAGUGGCAACCAGACUUCUGCACAUAGGAGAGAUGUCAUACUCAGAGUCCAGCCUCCCACAUCCACAGGACCACCUCUUCCUCCUCUGAGUCUUGUUAAUAGGGCCAUCCCUUGCCUUAGACCUGGCCCAGUGGACUCUGAUCUUACAAACAGCCAAUAUGGGGCAGCAAAGUGGGACAUCUGUCUACAGGGCCAGUAGCCCCAAGUCAUCUGCUUGCCAAAAGGAGGGGGACCAGCCCCCGGGGGGAGCCCAGAGCUCGGCAGGGCUGGGGUUAGUAAGAAGAGAAAACAGGGUUAGUAGGGGCUGGGUUAGUAAGUCAGAGCACAGCACCAGCGGACAGGGCACCUCAGCAGACACACACAGGAGUCGCUAAGAGAAAAGGAAGAACGCACGCAGGUCCGUUAGUUUGUUAAGGGAUGAUUGGGGUGCAGUUGAGGCACCCCAGGGGUUAGACGGGUUAGUAAUCGAACAAAAGAGCUGCCUACAUAAAAGAAAGCUGAGAUGGAGGAAGAAUGUGGGGAAGUGACAGGGAUUCAAAGCAAGUGUCUUGCCCCAGGCAGAAGGAUCUGUGUGCAGAACACCCAGAGAGGCCAGGACCUAGGCAGCAGACGUGUUCAACCAGGUUUGAGGGGCCUUCCUCCAUCCUCAUACUUUUUUUUUUUAAGUGUCUGCCAUGUGCUGAGACCCUUAUAUUGACGGGAAUCCUCACUGCAACCUGUAAGGUAUCAGAACUCGCAUUCUACCACUGAGGAGACUGAGGUUGAGAGAAGUGAGGUGACUUACUCAAACUCACUCAACAGGAAGUGGCAGAGUUGAGAAAAGACCAUGUGAGGACAUAGUGAGAAGGUGCCACCUGCAAGCCAAGGAGAGAGGCCUCACCAGAAACCAAGUCUAACACCUUGAUCUGGACUUUCCAGCCUCCAGAACUGGCAGAAAAUAAAUUCCUGAUGUUUAAGCCAUCCAGUCUGUGGCAUGGUGCUGUGGCAGCCCAAGCUGAUGAAUAGUACACACCACUCCCCAUUCUGGGAAAAAGGACAUCUGGCUUUUAAACUUGCCUAAGGGAGGCCACAAGCUGCUCUCUUGCAAAUGCUGGGACUGUCUCCUCUGGAGGGAGCUGGAAUUGCAGAUUGUGGGGCCUGUCCUGCCACCUUCUGUUCCCCAAGAACAGAAUCCAGGAGCAGUGCAACUAGAAGCAGCGAUCUGAUUGAAGAAGAGUGUCCUGAGACUGGGCUAAGGUGACCCCUCAAGCCUUUGGGAUGGUGCACUCUCAGCCCCUCUGGCUGCCCCUCCCAGAGUUCAACAGCACAGGGGGAAGGCUCCAGCUCCUCCCAGAUCCUGACUGUCUCCUCUUUGUAACCAUCAGGGAGAGGAAAAGCAUGGAAAAGCCCCACCAAGGAAGUCCCCCACAAAAUGACAAUUACGCACUGAGCAAAUGGAGACAAAGGACUCCAGCCAGCGGCACCCGAGGAGCUGCAUCUGCCCUCUGCCUGACAGCCCCUCCCCGACUCCCAUCCUUGUUCCUGUCCCCAUCCUGUAGGGUCCUUUGAGACCCAGCCUUGGGGAAAGUGUGGUCAGUGGGGACUUGGCCCAGGCCAGGCUCUGUCUGGUCACCGGCAGAAACGCGAGGAGGAAUCAAGUUCACAUGGGGCAGGAAAGGGCCCUCAGACCCAGACAAUAGGGCCCAGCAGGCAGGGCCCGAGCAGGUGAGGAGGGAGUAGUGGGCUGCCAGGCCUCCCUCAUACCCCUGCAGCUGUCCUCCAGAGCCAGAUCAGUCAUCUGCUGAGCAUCAACCAGGAAGAGUUCCUAUCCAUGGGAGGCUCCAUCCCAACAGGUGUGAAGAGGAUGAGAUCUUCAGGGAGUCACCCAGCGGGCUAGAAAACCACCGGAGUCUGACCGUUAAGUCACUGUGGCCAGAAUCCAAGGUCACCCGAGGUCCAAAGAGAAGUCCAGGCCAGGAGUCCUGGAGAUGCGGCCCAGAUGGAGCCACCUGGGGGAGAAGACAGCGAGUGAGGAUGAGGCCACAGCCUCCAUCCCCAACUUCCCACAUCCCCCCAGCCUAAUUCUGCAUCUGAGGGGACACAUGUUCAGAGAUCCCCCCAGUCUCUCUCUCAUGCCCCCAGCACACACACAGGGUGGAAGUGAGGGUUUUGGACAUGAAAAAUUUUUAGAAGAAACUUAGGCCAGGCACAGUGACUCCCACCUGUAAUCCCAGCACUUUGGGAGGCUGAGGAAGGAGGAUCACUUGAGCCCAGGAGUUCGAGACCAGCCUGGGCAACAUAAUGAGACUCUGUCUCUACAGAAAAUAAGCCAGGCAUGGUAGCAUGCACUUGUAGUCCCAGCUACCCAGGAGGCUGAGGUGGGAGGAUGUAUUGAGCCCUGGAGUUCAAGGCUGCAGUGAGCCGUGAUCAUAACACUGUACUCUAGCCUGGGCAACAGAGUGAGACCCUGUCUCUGAG